CCUACGGGAGGCAGCAGUAGGGACUCUUCCACAAUGGGCGAAAGCCUGAUGGAGCAACGCCGCGUGGGUGAAGAAUGUCUUCUGAUCGUAACACCCUGUUGUUAUAGAAGUAAAUGCUUGAGAGUAACUGUUCACGUUUCUACGGUACCUUAAGAAUAAGCUCCGGCUAACUACAGGCCAGCAGCCGCGGUAAUACGUAGGGAGCACGCGUUGUUCGGAAUGACUGGGCGGAAAGGGUGCGUAGGCGGUUAUACAAGUGAGAAAGGAAAUACCCAGGGCUUAACUCGGGUGCUGCUUCUAAAACUGUAAGACUUGAGUGCAGUAGAGGUUAGUGGAAUUCCUAGUGUAGCGGUGGAAUGCGUAGAUAUUAGGAGGAACACCAGAGGCGAAGGCGGCUAACUGGACUGCAACUGACGCUGAGGCACGAAAGUGUGGGGAGCAAACAGGAUUAGAUACCCCAGUAGUC
rnacentral:rRNA from 1 species